UACGUAGGGGGGCUAGCGUUGUCCGGAAUCAUUGGGCGUAAAGAGCGUGUAGGCGGUCCGGUAAGUCCGCUGUGAAAGUCGGGGGGCUCAACCCUCGAAUGCCGGUGGAUACUGUCGGGCUAGAGUGCGGAAGAGGCGAGUGGAAUUCCUGGUGUAGCGGUGAAAUGCGCAGAUAUCAGGAGGAACACCUAUUGCGAAGGCAGCUCGCUGGGACGUAACUGACGCUGAGACGCGAAAGCGUGGGGGAGCAAACAGG
rnacentral:rRNA from 1 species